AACGAACGCUGGCGGCAUGCCUAACACAUGCAAGUCGAACGAGACCUUCGGGUCUAGUGGCGCACGGGUGCGUAACGCGUGGGAACCUGCCCUUAGGUUCGGAAUAACUCCCCGAAAGGGGUGCUAAUACCGGAUAAUGUCUUCGGACCAAAGAUUUAUCGCCUUUGGAUGGGCCCGCGUUGGAUUAGCUAGUUGGUAGGGUAAAAGCCUACCAAGGCGACGAUCCAUAGCUGGUCUGAGAGGAUGAUCAGCCACACUGGGACUGAGACACGGCCCAGACCCCCAGGGGGGGAAGAGGGGGGAAUUAUUGAAAAGGGGGAGAAGGCCUAACCCAUCAAUCCCGCGGGAGUGAUAAAGGCCUUGGGGUGGAAAAGCUUUUUUCCCCGGGAGGAUAAUCAGAGUCCGGGGAAAAUAGCCCCGGCAAACCCCGGUC
rnacentral:rRNA from 1 species